rnacentral:rRNA from 1 species
CCGCGUGUGUGAAGAAGGCCUUCGGGUUGUAAAGCACUUUCAGCGGGGAGGAAGGCGUUAAGGUUAAUAACCUUGGCGAUUGACGUUACCCGCAGAAGAAGCACCGGCUAACUCCGUGCCAGCAGCCGCGGUAAUACGGAGGGUGCAAGCGUUAAUCGGAAUUACUGGGCGUAAAGCGCACGCAGGCGGUCUGUUAAGUCAGAUGUGAAAUCCCCGGGCUCAACCUGGGAACUGCAUUUGAAACUGGCAGGCUUGAGUCUUGUAGAGGGGGGUAGAAUUCCAGGU